GAUGAACGCUGGCGGCGUGCUUAACACAUGCAAGUCGAACGAUUAAAGCCCGCUUCGGUGGGUGCAUAGAGUGGCGAACGGGUGAGUAACACGUGGGCAACCUGCCCCUCACUUCGGGAUAACUCAGGGAAACCUGAGCUAAUACCGGAUACUCCGGGAUGGUCGCAUGGCCGACCCGGGAAAGUUCCGGCGGUGAGGGAUGGGCCCGCGGCCCAUUAGCUUGUUGGUGAGGUAACGGCUCACCAAGGCGACGAUGGGUAGCCGAGCUGAGAGGCUGAUCGGCCACACUGGGACUGAGACACGGCCCAGACUCCUACGGGAGGCAGCAGUGGGGAAUCUUGCGCAAUGGGCGAAAGCCUGACGCAGCAACGCCGCGUGCGGGAUGAAGGCCUUCGGGUUGUAAACCUCUUUUCUCAAGGAGGAAGAUCUGACGUUACUUGAGGAAUAAGCAUCGGCUAACCCUGUGCCAGCAGCCGCGGUAAAAC
rnacentral:rRNA from 1 species